GGAGAUUUGGCUCAGUGGUAGAGCGCUUGCCUAGGAAGCGCAAGGCCCUGGGUUCGGUCCCCAGCUCCG
rnacentral:tRNA from 1 species